rnacentral:piRNA from 1 species
UGGCAAAGGCAUAUCGGCUAUCAGUGU